rnacentral:rRNA from 1 species
GGAUGCGAUCAUACCAGCACUAAAGCACCAGAUCCCAUCGGAACUUUGAAGUUAAGCGUGCUUGGGCGAGAGUAGUACUAGGAUGGGUGACCUUCUGGGAAGUUCUCAUGUUGCAUUCC